AAUAAGCCAAUGUAUAAAUUCAUAUUAUUUUGCCGUUUUAGGUUUGCGAUUUAGUCACUUCCUGUGACGUCAUUUCCUGUUAAAAAUCUUACCUCUGUAGAAGGAAUGGCAGACAUGUGCAUCUUCUGAUUGUAAUCCGCUAGCAUCCACAUGGAAGCAUCUAAGAGGCAAUGCCUUUUCACCGUCUGUUAAUGAGGAAUUGUGACAGUAAAUGGUCAACCCUACUACGACUCUGUCUUCAUUGGCUACGGUUUAACUCGGUGUUAAGUCAGAGUUACAACACACUGCACGAGAACACUACAGUGAAAAGGCAGCAUUGGAUGUUUUGAAGUGGUCGCCAUGGCAAGCAACAGAUCGUCUGUCGGCAGUGCUAAGAGCAUCAAAACAUCAGCAUCAUCAGUAAGCGCAGCCCGCGUCCGGGCCGAAGCAGAAGCUGCAAAGGCAAAGUCACAUGACACUUUCAUGACAUGGCAUCCAGCGGAGGAAGACGACUAUCAACCACAACCUGUCAGCAAGGAAAAUGCUGACAGUAAACAACCAUCGCCACCACAUUUACAUGACCCAACUAAAGCUGAGACAAAGGCUAAGGUUUGCGAUUAUGUCACUUCCGGUUUAGUCACUUCCUGUGACGUCAUUUCCUGUUAAAAAUCUUACCUCUGUAGAAGGAAUGGCAGACAUGUGCAUCUUCUGAUUGUAAUCCGCUAGCAUCCACAUGGAAGCAUCUAAGAGGCAAUGCCUUUUCACCGUCUGUUAAUGAGGAAUUGUGACAGUAAAUGGUCAACCUUACUACGACUCUGUCUUCAUUGGCUACGGUUUAACUCGGUGUUAAGUCAGAGUUACAACACACUGCAUGAGAACACUACAUUAUUUGUACCUUUUAUUCCUGGUGGGACCUCUUGGACCAGAUCAAUAUUGUAAAUAAGAAACUGUUCUUAAUGUUUUAUCUGGAAAAAUAAAGGUUAAAUAAAAUAAAGUGCAUUUCUUUUUGAACAGCACAUCCGAUCCAUGACCUCUGUAUUUUUUUUACAUUUAAAUGUAUGCCCAUAACUAACUGAGUUUAGCUUUAUCUAUUAUUACUUUUAUUUUCUUCCCUUUUCUUAAUGUUACGUGUAUUUCGUUUUUAAGAUAAAACAAGAGAAACCCAAACAUAUCUUAUGGUCUCGUAUUUAUGUAAAUGUUUCAUGUAUUUAUAUGUUUUUUACAUGUGACUGUCUGAGUUUGAUGUGGGGUCUAUGGUCUCGUAGUUAUGUACACGUUUCAUGUAUUUAUGUGUUUUGUUCAUGUUGUGACUGAGUUUGUGAUGCGAGUCUUUAUUCUAUGUUCCCACUCUUGGCCUGCACCUUGAUGUGAUCCCAGUCCAUCAUGCUCCCCUUGCCUGCCGUGCCACCAUCAUGCCUCAUGCAUCACUUCUCAGCACCCUGCCCAGCUGCAUCUUAUUCCCUUACUCCAGCUCUUUCCCAUAAGUGACAAACACGCCUCACCCAAGUGUUUUUAAUAAUUUAUUAAUUAUGCAUGUAAGGUGUGCUUAAGUGGCCUGAAAGGUGCCCAUCAAUAAAAUGCUUAUUAAUAUAACAUUAUGGCUCCAUCAAAAGCAAAGUACACCUGCCAUUUACAGUUAUCAUUUAUACUAUCCAAGACAUCUUUAAACUUAUUUACAUAGGCCUACAGUAGGCCUGAUUUCCUCUGAAUGUUUAAAUAAAAAAAUUCCCUGUCCAUGUCAGAUCCCUGUCCAUCAUACUCCUGUUGUUGUCUUCCUGCACACCUGACUGCCUCCUCCAUUGAUUGCGGCCACAGCCCUCUCCCUG
ensembl:lncRNA